rnacentral:rRNA from 1 species
UACGUAGGGGGCAAGCGUUGUCCGGAUUUAUUGGGCGUAAAGAGCGUGUAGGCGGCUAGGUAGGUCCGUUGUGAAAACUCGAGGCUCAACCUCGAGACGCCGGUGGAAACCAUCUAGCUAGAGUCCGGAAGAGGAGAGUGGAAUUCCUGGUGUAGCGGUGAAAUGCGCAGAUAUCAGGAAGAACACCCGUGGCGAAGGCGGCUCUCUGGGACGUGACUGACGCUGAUGCGCGAAAGCCAGGGGAGCGAACGGG